AGGGAUAUAGUUUAGUGGACAAGAAUGUGGGCCCUUGAAGCCCGUGACCCCGGUUCGAAUCCGGGUAUCCCUA
rnacentral:tRNA from 1 species